GAAAUGCGAUAAGUAGUGUGAAUUGCAGAAUUCAGUGAAUCAUCGAAUCUUUGAACGCACAUUGCGCCCCUUGGUAUUCCAUGGGGCAUGCCUGUUCGAGCGUCAUCUACACCCUCAAGCUCUGCUUGGUGUUGGGCGUCUUUGUCCCGCCUCCGCGCGCGGACUCGCCCCAAAUUCAUUGGCAGCGGUCCUUGCCUCCUCUCGCGCAGCACAUUGCGCUUCUCGAGGUGUUGCGGCCCGCGUCCAGAAAGCAAUCGUUACCGUCUUUGACCUCGGAUCAGGUAGGGAUACCCGCUGAACUUAGGC
rnacentral:misc_RNA from 1 species